rnacentral:lncRNA from 1 species
AAAAAAUUAGCUGGGCGUGGUGUUGCACAACUGUAAUCCCAGCUACUAGGGAGGCUGAGGCAGGAUAAUCACUUGAACCCGCGAGGUGGAGGUUGCACUGAUCCGAGAUCGUGCCUCUGCACACUCCAACCUGGGUGACACAGUGAGACUGUCUCAAAAAAAAAAAAAAAAAAGUAAGAUCCUACGAAGCUGGGGCUCUGUUCCAGGCCAGCCUCAGGCCUGGCCUCAUCCUAAUGAAGUCAUCCUGGCCUAGUCCCAAUCUUGGGACUCUGGUCCCGUGGAUUCCCGCAGGGAUCCGCAACCAGGCCGACAACUGCCCCAGGGUACCCAACUCAGACCAGAAGGACAGUGAUGGCGAUGGUAUAGGGGAUGCCUGUGACAACUGUCCCCAGAAGAGCAACCCGGAUCAGGUGAGGACAGGCCAGACUCCAGCUGGGUAAGCCCUCUGGGUGAGCUGCAAGUUGGAUUACCCAGCCCACAGCCCAGCUUAGAGCAUUUCACACUGUCAGAGAAAUGACCUCCCGGUCCGAGCAGCCUGGGGCGGGGAUUUCCUUGGGGUCAGGAGGACUUUGGCUAUGUGGCUGAGUUGGGUGGGAGGCUUUCUGAUUUCCUCUGUCUGAUUGUGGACCCCCGUAUGCUGCCCCCCCGCAGGGGGAUGUGGACCACGACUUUGUGGGAGAUGCUUGUGACAGCGAUCAAGACCAGGACGGAGAUGGACAUCAGGACUCUCGGGACAACUGUCCCACGGUGCCUAACAGUGCCCAACAGGACUCAGACAACGACGGCCAGGGUGAUGCCUGCGACAACGACGACGACAAUGACGGAGUCCCUGACAGUCGGGACAACUGCCGCCUGGUGCCCAACCCUGGCCAGGAGGACGUGGACAGGGACGGCGUGGGCGACGUGUGCCAGGGCGACUUUGAUGCAGACAAGGUGGUAGACAAGAUCGAUGUGUGUCCGGAGAACGCUGAAGUCACCCUCACCGACUUCCGGGCCUUCCAGACAGUCGUGCUGGACCCGGAGGGUGACGCGCAGAUUGACCCCAACUGGGUGGUGCUCAACCAGGUGGGAGAGGGGGCCAAGUGGGAGGUGAUGGGACCCUAGAA